CAGCGGAAUAGAAAACGACAGAUUAUUGCUGCAUCUCGCUGUUCCUCUCUCUUGCACAUAAAAGAAAGAUGGUCCAUUUUGCUCACAAGCGUUUUGAAAGAGAGGCAGCACAGGAAAUACCAGGAAGGAACUGCACUUUUUCUGACCCUUUGUGCUUUUUGCUACCCCGGUAUCUCCCCAGGAUGCCGCCCUGGCUGCGGUGCCCCGGGUCCCACACCGUUCCCUUGGACAUUUCCUAUCUAUUCCCCAAAGCCUGAGAGCAGCACGAAGCACCGUGAGCCCUGGGAGCAUCCUGCUUGGUCUGCACACCAGCUCUAAUCUUGCUUCUCAUUGGUCCUAUCUGACAGUAAUUGGCCACCGCUGCCUGGCUGCUGUUUUCACUUUAACAAUACCGCACCAAAUAAAUGGCCCUGUGUUGCUGUCAGCGGUGUUCUGCACACUGAGUCCGGCGUGGGUCAUGUUAUCUCGUGGAAAUGAAUUCUGCAGAUUGCACGUAAAGAGGGACAGUGCUGCCCUACUAAAAAAUGGGAAUGAUUAGCACCGUGCUAAUGAAAACGUCCUGCUGGUGGGGAAACUCUCAGCCUUUUGGAGAGCCUGGGCACAUCUAGCUUCGUUCCUGAAAGGCAGAAAUGCUGGAGCAGAGCAGGGGAAUGAUUUGGGUUUUCCAGGGACUGCAGUUGCUCCGAGCUUGGGGACCAAAGCACCAACAACACACGCUGCUGCGCUUUCAAUUCUCCGGCAAUUGGCAACAGUUUAAUGUGUAUAUAUCACCAGCGCAGUUGUGUGAGCUCUGGUCCCACCGGCACCAUUUUUUUUAAAAAAAAUCCCUUUUCCAGUGUAAUUGCUGUUUGUUUUGUCAUUUCUCAGUGGGCAAUUACAGUUCAAAACCAAGAGAGCUUUUGAAGAUCGCAAGCGGAGGCUGUGGGCUUCAUUAAUGCGCUUUUAAUACACUAUGGAAACACACUUGAACUUACCUGCCCGAGGCCUCAGACAUAGGAAUCCGGCUUUGUAAAGCGCUGAUUAUUUGAUCUAUUUAAAAUACUUCCAGUAUUAGCCCGGUCUCCUGGAUACACUUCAACGUCAGCAGUUUGGGAUGCCGAAAUAUCUCCUCCAGGCCAUUCUGCCAUUCUCUAAUUCCUAGGAACUGGAGCCUCAGUGUUGGAAAUGCCACCGUUGCUGCUACCUGGCCUCUUUCAGACACCUCCUUGUAACUGAUUUGGGAAUAAAGCAACAGGAAGAAUAGAAAGUGGUUCUGAU
rnacentral:lncRNA from 1 species